rnacentral:rRNA from 1 species
AGUGAACGCUGGCGGUAGGCCUAACACAUGCAAGUCGAACGGCAGCACAGGAGAGCUUGCUCUCUGGGUGGCGAGUGGCGGACGGGUGAGGAAUACAUCGGAAUCUACUCUGUCGUGGGGGAUAACGUAGGGAAACUUACGCUAAUACCGCAUACGACCUACGGGUGAAAGCAGGGGACCUUCGGGCCUUCCGCGAAUGAAUGAGCCGAUGUCGGAUUAGCUAGUUGGCGGGGUAAAGGCCCACCAAGGCGACGAUCCGUAGCUGGUCUGAGAGGAUGAUCAGCCACACUGGAACUGAGACACGGUCCAGACUCCUACGGGAGGCAGCAGUGGGGAAUAUUGGACAAUGGGCGCAAGCCUGAUCCAGCCAUACCGCGUGGGUGAAGAAGGCCUUCGGGUUGUAAAGCCCUUUUGUUGGGAAAGAAAUCCAGCUGGCUAAUACCCGGUUGGGAUGACGGUACCCAAAGAAUAAGCACCGGCUAACUUCGUGCCAGCAGCCGCAGUAA